rnacentral:piRNA from 1 species
UGUUGACGUUCAGCCUUCGCCCUUUUGGUU